AUGAUGACUCUCGGCAACGGAUAUCUCGGCUCUUGCAUCGAUGAAGAACGUAGUGAAAUGCGAUACCUGGUGUGAAUUGCAGAAUCCCGUGAACCAUCGAAACUUUGAAUGCAAGUUGCGCCCGAGGCCACCCGGCUGAGGGCAUGUCUGCCUGGGCGUCAUGC
rnacentral:rRNA from 1 species